UAGGGAGGGGGGGCAGGCGCCCUGGAGGCUGGUGCAGGACUGGAACAGGGCCGAGACCAGGGAAGCCUCCAGGGCG